CAUUUGCUGUUUAAAAUUUUUAUUAAAGUACUCUAAAUUUGGUGGGUCUAAGUCCGGAGUAGGUUAUGCAGUGUACCAUCUAGACAUCUCUUUUUGGGGAGGGAUGGGGAAGUUUCAAGGUUCAAAUGUUUUUAACCUAUCUAUAUUUGAGACCUUGCCAUUUUGCUUUAAUGAUGUAAAGAAGAAAAGACUGCACGAUGUGUAAAUAGAUUAGAAAAUAGGCAUAAGGAGAAGCAGUAAAUACUAUUUUAUGCUCUUAAUUGUAUGCUAAAAGCUUCUAAAGCACAAGUGCAUAUUUUUAUACAGCUCUUUUGAAAACUUUCUGUGAUCUACAUAAAGUCAGACUUGAGAUUUUCCUUUCUCUUUUACCAAACAACCCUUCUCUAUGUAUUGUAAAUAUCAGAAACUCCGUAAACAAAAUAUCUUCAUUUUCCUUUUCAAAUCCUCUGUACUCCAUGCUGCAUUUUAAUGAGGUAUAAACAGAGGCUGAAUUAGUUGAGUAGUAGUUAUUUUUUUCAAAUGAAAAUUGGAAUGCAUAACACUUGAAACCAGUACAUGGAAAGAAAGAAAAUGACUUAUCACUACAUAAUGUGCCAAUGUUUUUUUCUAUGUUUUGUACCAAAAAAUGAAAUCAUAUAUGACAAUUCCACGCAGAGAAAUGUAUCUAAAUUAUUUUUGUUAGAAAAGCGAAUGUGCUUGGUCAGGACAGCAGCUAGCUUUGUGUUGUAAUGCUGCACUAUGUAAAUGUGAUGAAAGUGUUUUUGUGAAGUACUUGUAACUAAAUUCCUACAGCCAUUUUUCAUUCCCAACAGCUGUUUUUAUUUUAUCUCUUUGGCCUAAACUUUUCAUUAUUUCAAAAUUUCGCUUUAGUGUCCUUUAUUUCAUGAGUCACACACUUUAUUUUCAGACACAUUAAAUUCAGGAUGUCAAAAUCCCAUUUUAAGGAGCUAAAUAACUUGCCUAGGCUUCAGAAACUUGCUCGAGACAAGGACAGUCUUUACCUCGCCAUGUCGCUCUCAGUUCCACUUGUACCAAGAGGGAGAAAAUAUCUGUUCUAAGGCUGGUGGGGUGAUAAAGAGGAUUAAGUUGGAGUGGUCCCUGCAAGUAACUACACAAACGAAGCCUUUCUCAAGUCUUUCGUAUUGGAGGAAUGGGUCUAGGUUCAGAAGAAGCAGCUCAAACCCAGCACUCACCCCUUGAGCAGCAGCACAAAGCACAGGCUCCUAGAGGUCUCCAGCUGUAAAUUCAAGAUGUGCUACAUCCUACCUGUUAUUCAGUGGAUUUCUCAUUUUUAUCCCAAAAUAUCAUCU